rnacentral:lncRNA from 1 species
AUGGAGCCGGACUUGCUGCUCCGCGGGUCAGACGCACCCGCCCAGCCGCGGCGCCCCGGCUGGGCCGCGCUGAAGGACCCCCCCCCUUCCCGAGGCUGCCAGGCGUCUUGUGGGGGGCGCCCAUCUCGGAGCCACCUGCGGGGAAGAGGGCGCAGGGCAGCCAGGUCCCGGGCCAAUAGGGGUCCCAGGCUUCCGGCGCGGCCCCGGCCUGCUCCUGGCGCCAGACCCUCGGCCCUGCGGCCCCCUGCCUCUCUCUACUCCAAGCCCGGGGGGCGUCCGUGGUGCUGGUCCUGGGGGCUCCGCCCGCCCUGGGGCUCGGCCCCAGGCUGUCCCUCCCGUCCCGGGGCCCCGUGGGUGGGCUGCGGGGCUCUGAGCUGGGAAGGCCUCGGGGGGCGCGGGCGCGCCUGCGCGUCAGGGAGAUGCCGCGGAGCCCGGCGCGGGGCUCCCCUAGCAGCGCAGGGGCUCGAGCCCGACCCCGGCGACCCCAGCGAGUCCACACCCGGCCGCGGACCCGCAUCCUCGCGGGGUCUCUAUCUCUCCGUGAGUCCAGCCUGCUCUCAAGAGAGUCCAGGCCUUCCCCGAAGAAGACGUCGCCCCCGGCCCCGCGACCCCGACCCUCUCACUCUCAUCCGGCGCCAAGCGAGCCAGCCCCCAAGGCCCCGGCCCACGAGGGCCACCCAGCCGGGCACCGCCCUCACCGCCGCUCCCGGAAGCCCCCCAUCUGCGGCCCUUGACGGGCGGGCCGCUCGGCCAACCGGAGCGGAGCGCGGCGGGGCGGGGCGAGUCUGGGGCGCGGACAGCCGCAUGCGUCCAAUGGCAGGCGGCGCUGGGCUGACGGACGGGCGCGGGGCGGGGCGUGCGCUGGCCCGGCCGAGCGUCCGCCGCCCGCAGCCCGAGCCGCACCCGCCGCGGACGGAGCCCAUGCGCCGGGCGAGCGGCACCCCCCGGCCCCGGCCCGCGCCCCCGCCCCUGCCCUGGCCUCAGGGGCAGUCGCGCCCGUGA